UGGGAUUACAGGCAUGAGCCACCGAGCCAGGCCACUUAUACACUUUCAACAAACUUUGACUUCAAAUAGAAUUAAUGCUACUAUCUGCUAGUCAGGACUGGCUACCUAAUGUGCUGGGCCCAGUGCAAAAUAAAAACGUGGGACUCCUUAUCCAAAUGAUUAUGAAUUUCAAGAUAACAAGACUAGAACAUGAAACCAAGUAUGGGGCGCUGUCUGCACAUGCCCAUGAAGCCAGCCCACCUGCCACUGUUACUCAAGGCAGUGAAAAUUCCUUUACAUAGGAAGUGCUUCUAAUUAUAAAUACUUAAUAGAUAGUUACGGGGAAUUGGUCUUGGAACCUCUGCAUUCGGCUCUCGAAAAUCAGCCCUCCCAUUCAUCUUUCCUGUAUCAAAAACAUUACAUAUUAAGUAUUAGAAACUAUCACUAGAUAGGUCAAAGUAAAUCAAGACGUAUGAUAUAGUAAAACUACUAGUCUACACAGCAAUCAAUCAACAAAUAUUUAUUAAACACUACUAUAUCUUACGUACUCCACAUGUAAAUAGCUAGAUGAAAAAGUAACAGACCUACUGAUUAAUUUGGAACUCACUAUUCAGGUUAAGUCCCUUAAUUGAAAAAGCAUAUGCGUUUUAUAAGUUUAUAAUUUUUUUUACUAUCAAGAUAUCAAUAAAAUAACAGACAUAUUUUUUCCUCCUGGAAGUGGGUUCUUUCACAUCCUAUGUUUUGGUCGUUUCUCGAAUCUAUGCCCAAUGAUUAGGAUAAUUCCCCAAAAUAGAAGAGAAAAAAAAUUUCAAGUCAUUUCUGAGCUUCCAUAUUAAAAAAUGAAAUAAUCAUCAGAAACAUUCAACCUCUCCCACAAAGGAGCACUCCAAAAUUAUGGAAUAACAAAGACGACAUAUCCUUCUCCCUGUGAGGUAAAACUAACAGCAAAUUCUGUAUCUCCAAAUUUCCUUCCACCCCAAGAAUAUAAGAAAAAAAUGCAUAAAAUUCCAAGAAUAUACAUUUUUUAUUUGGUUCUUUUUUUAAAAACUCAUAUAUUGGGACUCAGACCAACAGAUCAAGUAACCGUAUUUUACAGAACGUUUACGUGGGAUCAUGAUUAUUCUCAUUUUAAAAACAAUUUGCAUGGAAACAGGAAAUGGCAUACACAAUGAGGACAGCAACUGAGCCCUUCCAUAAUUCAUUCAGUCAAUAAGCCAUGAAGGCCUACUACAUGCCAACCCCUUAAUUAGAGAAAAGAAAUAAAAAAGGUCAGCUGAAUUCAUGGAUGGAUGGAGCCUGCUGAAUAAACUACCUUUACCCUACAACCGUAUGAGAAAAAAUGAAACCCUCUUAUUUCCCAUAACGGCAUCCUUCCUAGAAACACCAGGAAGACUGUCAGGGCUGACACGGCGCUUAAGACAAUACCAUUUUAAGUUCUUUACACAAAACAACGCUGGAUUAAAGCCUAAGCGGCCUACAACCGCUGAUUACCGCACUCCAUCCUCCACCCAGUGUCCGUCUCCCACCUGCCGUUA
rnacentral:lncRNA from 1 species